GCCAGAAAAUAUUCUAUAGGAUAUGCUUAUUAUCAAAUCUAGAUUCUGAUUACACGGAGAGAGAAACCCCUUAAAAUCCUACGAUUUUCGAUUACAUUGCCAUCUAAUUAAUUGCUAAAACCCCAUUUUGUGGCUCUGCCUGCAAGUGCAUGGCUUUGGCAGUGGUGUUCCAAAAAAUUUUGGAUUGCAAAUCACUAGAUAAACCACAUAUAUAAGGUGCACCAAAGGGUAAGAGCAAAUGCAGCCACGACGUAAGUCCACAACAUGAUCACAGAACACUCACUCUCUCCAGCUUCAAACAGCUGCGCGAUUAUGCCUACGGUCAUUGCAGGCGGAAGUGCAUACUGAAGCAUAAGAACAAACUGAUAUAAUGAAUCUGAUCCAACCAUACCAAAAUGGUAUGCUGCUUUAACUACACCAAGGCCCAACAGAGGCAUCAAAAUAUAUCGCACUCCUAUAAUUCCAGCAAUCACCCAUGUGUUUACUCCUGAUGUUGUUAAACCUUUAUAAAGGUUUGCUCCCACUAUCAGGGUCAUAGAUGGAACUGUUGCCUCCCCCAGCAAAGAUGCAGAAUUCUCAAGCACACGAAGAGGAGCACUGUCGCCAAUUAUCAACUUCCUGAUUGGAGAGACUGUCCCAAUAAUAAACCCAAUAAUAGCUGCUAUUGUGGAAGGAGCAAAAACCAUCUUCAGGUUGAUCUUUUCUGCAAAAUUUUUUAUGCGCUGAAAAGCUCUCCCCAAAUAAGACAGUUUUCCCUCGGACGCAGUUCUUGAAAGGGCAUUGGAACUGGAGUUUUCCGUUGAAGGAAGUAGUAGUGAUUCAGUGCAACUUUCUAGAAAUGUUUGUGUCUCAUUUGUAUGGUUAUUGGUAGCCGCAACACUCUUAUCUGCAUAUAUUCGCAUGAUAAAAUAUACGUACGUCCAUAUGUAUACAGCUCCCACCGCCAUGGAAAGGGAAGCAUAAGCUUCUCCAUAAGUCGAACAGAUGGUUGAAUCUCCAAAUGGACUAUUUGACUCUUCACACACUGCUGGAACAAUAAUGAGAAGCAAGUUUCCCAAAUUUCCAGCAGAACAGCAACCAAUGACGAGACCUUGGAAUUGAGGUGGAGUUUUAGUGAUUUUAAUAAGAAUCCAGGCAAACACCGAGCCAAUUAUGAAGGUAAGGAGGAUAUUCACUGGCAUAAACCACAAGGAAACCAGACUUGAAAAAGUAAUAGUUUCUCCGAGUUGGCUAACCACCAGCGCAGGACUUAACACGUAGAAUACAAGAUUAUUGAGAUUGUGUCUAGCAGUGGGUCCCAACAGAUUUAUGCGAUCUAGCGCGAGAGAUAAUCCAAUUCCAGUGACCAAUAGAACUUCCAGCACCGGGAUUAAUGCCACUACCAGCAGAUCCAAGAAUCCCAUCUUCGACGCCCACUAUCAGUGAAGGAGUUGGAUGAGAUAUAUGAUAUUGCUGCACUGCACGAGAGCCAACUCAAGCUUCCAUUAAUUAGGAGCCAAGAGAGCAGUAGUGAGCGAUUCUGGUUCGGUUUCUCGCGUCUGAUGAUGGGAAAAUUUUAGUUUAAACAAGAAAG
rnacentral:misc_RNA from 1 species